AAGUGAGUAUCGAAAAGAAAGAAUGGGAGGGAGAAAUUAAAAUGUUUUAAACUGUAAUCAUUUUCUGUUCUUUUUUUCUUCUCCAUCUUUCUCUUUCUCUUUUUUUUUUACUGUUGAUUUACAAAAUCUUCUUCCAUUGCUAAUUUCUUUGUCUACGGUUUUUGUUCGUUAGUUUUUUUUAUUCUUUUUAGACUCAAAUUCUUUGAAAUUAUGAGGAGAAAUGUGAAGAAAGAAAAACAAACAGAUAAGGGUGAUGCAUCUGCUGAACCGGUUCGAACCAAGGUGGCGGGAGAGGCCCGAGAUGAGUCGGCGGAUGUUGAGUCGAAUCAACCGAAUCGAGAAGAGGAUGCGACAGAUAGGAGGGUUCUUCGCUCCAAAUACCUUGCCGUGAUGACCAAAAUAAGCGGUUAUUAUUAUUUUUCUUCUUCUUCUUUUCCUGAAAGGAUAUUAAUCUCAUUUCACUAGUUUUUUUUUGUUUUAAUUUUCUUUCCAGAUUUGAGCUAAAUUAUUGCUUUUUCUAACUUGAAUUUUUAGAACCUGCAAAGGAAUUUGCACUAUGUUAGUUCUUUUAUAGAUACUGUUUUGAGUUUUCUUUUUCGUCUUUAAUGGAUUGGGUGUUAAGGAUUGUUGGAGUCUUGCUGAAUUGUUUUGCUUUGUGCUGAAGAACCUCAAUAAAAUCAUUGUGCUUUGUUAAUCUUGACUUUUGUUAAUCUAAAAUUUUUAUUUUUAUUUAUGAAAUAAAACUGGUAUUUGUUCUUUGUGUAACUAGGUGAAUUAUAUUAUAGAACUCUUAACUAUUUUUAAGUCUAACAACUGAAUAAUGAAACAGAACUGUAUUUAAUUUGUUGUGGCUUACAGAGAGUUUGGUUUGAUUUGUUUUCUUCAUUUAACUACAAUAAAUUGAUUCAGUAUAAACUUCCGUUAAAAUCUUGCUGAAUUUAACUGAUUACACUAAUUUUUAAGUGAACGCAUGAUCAGGAAGAAGGUGUUUAAGUUGGCACUGAGUUAUUUGGUAAUAGCCAUAUCUCAUGGAGUUGGUGUGUUGUUGAGUUAUUCGCACACUAUCUUUUGGGAAUAUUCAAACUUCCCUUUCUUGUUUGGUUUCUAUUAAUUGCGGGUUAGAGAUGUUGUGGAAGUAAAUAAAACGUGUAUCCUGAUGUGCAGUGUUUAGUGUUGUGUGGUUGAAUGUAUACUGUUUGGUACCAUAAGCUUAGCACUCAUAAUUUGCAUUGUGUCUGUCUACUCUUUUAACAACCAUUGUUGACAAAGAGUUCUUGUUGUGCACAGACAAUAUGUUUGCUUUUCUGGUUAAUUUGAUUUAUAAUCCAUUGCUGCUCAAGCUUUAUUCUUUAAGUUCUUUUGCCUCUUUUCAGAAUCUCCCCUGUUAAAGUAGGAAGCAUUGAAGUUUGGUUUAUCUUUUUACAUGCAUGAAGUGGUUUAUAUUUAUACACGCAUGAAAUCAUAAAGUUGGUGAGGAUGAGUGCAUCCUUUUGUUUGUUACACUUUUUAGUUUUCUUCCAAACAAGAGUUUCAUAUUCACCAUAAUUUUAUUGCGACUACAUCUGUGAAACAAUGCAAUUCAUAAAGUUUUCUGAUUAUUUUCUUUAAUACAAAGAUACUUAACAAAUUUUAUGCUUACCUUGAUUGAAGCUUCUUGUACGGAUAUGAACAAGUCUUUAGCUGAUGGGAUGUUGGAUGUACCUUGCUUAGAAGAAAAAAAAAGAAAAAAAAGGAGAAAUCAUAGGGAAAAGAAUCAAAACAUAAAAUAUGAUGAGAAUAGAUAGGCAUAGGCCCUUCCAUAUAAACCUUUAUUGGGCUAUUGCUGAUAAUUAUAAUUCGACAACUCAACGAUGAUGUUCCUUACUUUUGGAGAUAACCGAGAAGUGGAACAUGGUUUGUCUGUAAAAUUGCAAGUUCAAAAGUUAAUUCUCCAAGCUACAUCACAUGAAAAUUUGUGCCAGGACUAUGUUGGGUGGCGUCCUUUUUGGUGAUCUCAAGAACAAAAAAGAAAUGGUAGAUUAUGCAUGCACACUUGAAGAAGUGCAGUAGCAUUAAUUCUCUGCAGGAAGAUUCCUAGAUUCAGGCUUAUAUGCAAAAUGUGAGUUAUGGAUCUGGAGAAGGGAAUGAUAGGCUGCUUAUAUGCAAAAUGUGAGUUAUGGAUCUGGAGAAGGGAAUGAUAGGCUGCUUAUAUGCAAAAUAUAUGGUUUAUGAAUUGCUGCGCAUAUCAACCCAGUCAAUGAGUUCAAGUCUAUAGAAAAGUUUAAAAUUUUCAAUACAAACAAUUUGUAAGUCAUAUUGCCUUAACAUGUUAGAAUUGUCUAUUUGGCUUAGUACUAACAGUCAAUGUUACAAGAGGGUCAACCUGAAUGCUAUCAAGAGGCUUGUGGAAGCUGAUGCACUCAAGAUGGAGAUCAUUCCAAACCCGAAGGUUUGUAUCACUUUCUUACCA